rnacentral:rRNA from 1 species
UACGGGGGGAGCAAGCGUUGUUCGGAUUUACUGGGCGUAAAGGGCGCGUAGGCGGCCACCGCAAGUCGACUGUGAAAUCUCCGGGCUUAACCCGGAAAGGUCAGCCGAUACUGCGGGGCUAGAGUGCAGAAGGGGCAACUGGAAUUCUCGGUGUAGCGGUGAAAUGCGUAGAUAUCGAGAGGAACACCUGCGGCGAAGGCGGGUUGCUGGGCUGAUACUGACGCUGAUGCGCGAAAGCCAGGGGAGCGAACGGG